rnacentral:tRNA from 2 species
ACUUAAAUAGCUUAUAUUAGAGUUUAAUAUUGAAGAUAUUAAGGAAGUUGAAACUUUUAAGUA